ACCUGUCCUUGAACAUGAAUGCCUUUAUCAUCUUCUGGAGGUCAUUUAGCUUUUGUUUCAAGGCUUCCAGUUAGGGAAAGGCUACCAUCAAUGAAUCAAUCAAUCAAUAUUAAUGGUUUGAUAAGGGAAGACAGAGUACACUGGUCUCAUUACCAGCUACUUUUUGGAUGGCUACCAAGGCUUGGGGCUCUCAGGGCCAAAUCAUCAGGGAAAUGAUGCCUGACAUGCAACUCCAGGCAAGAUAAGCAGGAAGUUUAAAGGAUCAUAGAUCAUAGAUGGAAGAAGACUAUUACAUAGUCCAACCUCCUCAUUUUGAAGAUUAGAAGAUUACAUCAUGUGAAAUGCCAAACUGAAUGAAUCAAAAGCCAGAAUUAAGAUUGCCAGGAGAAAUUUCAACAAUCUCAGUUAUGCAGACAAGUUAUGAAGGCAAAAAAUGAAGAAGAAUUAAGAAGGCUCUAAAUGAUUGUGGUGAAAGAAGGAAAUAUAAGCCUCCUCCCCUAAAACAAAAUAAAAUAAAAUUAAACAAACUCCAAUAACUUAAGAUCAUGGCAACUGUUCUACUUACUUCCUGGAAAAAUAGAGGGAAAAGAAAUGGUACAGUAUUAGAUUUCAUAUUCUUGGGCUCAAAAAUCACUGUAGAUGGUGACAGCAGACAUUAAUUUAAAAGACACUUGUUCCUUAGAAGGAAAGCUAUGACAAAUCUGGACAGCUAAUUAAAAAGCAGGCCAAAGGUCCACAUAAUCAAAACUGUGGUUUUACCAGCAGUGAUGUGCAGCUGUGAAAAUUGGACUAUGAAGAAAGCUGAUUUUUUGAAUUGUGGUGCUGGAGAAGACUUUUAAGAAUUCCUUGGAAAGCAAGGAAAUCAAAUAAUAGUUGAAAGAAAUUAAUUAAUUCAUUGGAAGGACAAAUAUUGAAGCUGAUGUUUAAAUCCUUUGGUCAUAUAUUGAGAUGAAAGGACCCACUUGAAAAGACUUUAAAGUUGGAAAAAAUUGAAAGCAAAAGAAAAAGACCAUGGUAGAAGAUGAGAUAGAGAGAUAGUGUUAUAGAAGCAAUGUAUAUGAGUUUGGAAGAUAAUAAAAUAUAGAUGGACCUGUCGUGCUCUGGUCCUGGAGACAAGAAGAGUCUGACAUGAUUAAAUGAUUGAACAGUAAACAACCAUGAUAAAGUUUCCAGGGACAUUGUUCUCUAACUCUAUUGUAUAAAAGGAAGACUUUGCUAAAGAUCAUACCAAGGAAUGAUUUGAUGAGCUAGACUCAAACCCAGCUCUUCUAGAUUCCCAAUUUAGUGCUCUUUUCACUGCAGAAUACUCAAAAUAGUAAAUUGGUCCUGCCUCUUACCCCUUGUCAUGACAGAAACUCUGUCACCAAGUUAAGCUGAGAUGGUUGAAUAAAGAAGACAAUGUCUUACUUGAGAGCUGUUUAUAGACUUUAAAGGAAAGAAAAGGCAGCUUGCUAGAAAGAACCACUAACCUCUUAAUUCUUUUGUUUCCUAGA